GAUGAACGCUGGCGGCGUGCUUAACACAUGCAAGUCGAACGGGAAACCUUUUAAUGAAGCUUCGGCAGAUUUAGCUGGUUUCUAGUGGCGGACGGGUGAGUAACGCGUGGGUAACCUGCCUUAUACAGGGGGAUAACAGUCAGAAAUGACUGCUAAUACCGCAUAAGCGCACAGGACCGCAUGGUCCGGUGUGAAAAACUCCGGUGGUAUAAGAUGGACCCGCGUUGGAUUAGCUUGUUGGUGGGGUAACGGCUCACCAAGGCGACGAUCCAUAGCCGGCCUGAGAGGGUGAACGGCCACAUUGGGACUGAGACACGGCCCAGACUCCUACGGGAGGCAGCAGUGGGGAAUAUUGCACAAUGGGGGAAACCCUGAUGCAGCGACGCCGCGGGAAGGAAGAAGUAUCUCGGUAUGUAAACUUCUAUCAGCAGGGAAGAUAGUGACGGUACCUGACUAAGAAGCCCCGGCUAACUACGU
rnacentral:rRNA from 1 species